rnacentral:rRNA from 1 species
AGCGAACGCUGGCGGCAGGCCUAACACAUGCAAGUCGAGCGCCCCGCAAGGGGAGCGGCAGACGGGAGAGUAACACGUGGGAACGUACCCUUCAGUACGGAACAACCAAGGGAAACUUUGGCUAAUACCGUAUACGUCCGUAAGGAGAAAGAUUUAUCGCUGGAGGAUCGGCCCGCGUCUGAUUAGCUAGUUGGUGAGGUAACGGCUCACCAAGGCGACGAUCAGUAGCUGGUCUGAGAGGAUGAUCAGCCGCACUGGGACUGAGACACGGCCCAGACUCCGACGGGAGGAAGCAGUGGGAAAUAUUGGACAAUGGGCGCAAGCUUGAUCCAGCCAUGCCGCGUGGGUGAUGAAGGCCCUAGGGUUGUAAAGCCCUUUCGGCGGGGAAGAUAAUGACGGUACCCGCAGAAGAAGCCCCGGCUAACUUCGUGCCAGCCGCCGCCGUAAAAC